CCGUCAAUUCCUUUGAGUUUCACCCUUGCGGGCGUACUCCCCAGGUGGAUUACUUAUCGCUUUCGCUAAGACGCUGGCUGUGUAUCGCCAACAUCGAGUAAUCAUCGUUUACAGUGUGGACUACCAGGGUAUCUAAUCCUGUUUGAUCCCCACACUUUCGUGCCUCAGCGUCAGUUACAGUCUAGUAAGCUGCCUUCGCUAUCGGUGUUCUUGACGAUAUCUAAGCAUUUCACCGCUACACCGUCAAUUCCGCCUACCUCGUCUGUACUCAAGUCUUACAGUAUCAAUGGCACCUCAAUAGUUAAGCUAUUGUAUUUCACCACUGACUUAUAAAACCGCCUACGCACCCUUUAAACCCAAUAAAUCCGGACAACGCUUGCCACCUACGUAUUACCGCGGC
rnacentral:misc_RNA from 1 species